GCCUUCUUAGCUCAGUGGUAGAGCGCGUCACUAGUACCUUUCGGCUGCUAUGACGAGGUCAGUCGUUCAAGUCGGCUAGGAGGCA